UUUUUUCAUGAAUAGUCUUGAGGCCUCA
rnacentral:piRNA from 1 species